AUACGGAGGGGACAAGCGUUAUUCGGAAUCACUGGGCGUAAAGGACGCGUAGGCGGGUUAUUAAGUCGGGUGUGAAAUCCAAUGGCUCAACCAUUGAACUGCAUUCGAGACUGAUAACCUAGAGUAUGGAAGGGGCAGGUGGAAUUAGUGGUGUAGGGGUAAAAUCCGUAGAUAUCACUAGGAAUACCGAAAGCGAAGGCGACCUGCUGGGACAUUACUGACGCUGAGGCGUGAAAGCGUGGGGAGCAAACAGGAUUAGAAACCCUAGUAGUCC
rnacentral:rRNA from 1 species